UACGAAGGGGGGCUAGCGUUGCUCGGAAUCACUGGGCGUAAAGGGCGCGUAGGCGGAUCUUUAAGUCGGGGGGUGAAAGCCUGUGGCUCAACCACAGAAUUGCCUUCGAUACUGGGGAUCUCGAGACCGGAAGAGGUGAGUGGAACUGCGAGUGUAGAGGUGAAAUUCGUAGAUAUUCGCAAGAACACCAGUGGCGAAGGCGGCUCACUGGUCCGGUUCUGACGCUGAGGCGCGAAAGCGUGGGGAGCAAACAGGG
rnacentral:rRNA from 1 species